CGCACUGUUUGGGCCGGCCCAUAUCCCGCUUUACUGUUUCCAUUUCUUUUGCAUCUUCGUUCUUCUCUUCUGGGUCGGCUUCUCCGUCGCCUGAGGAAACCAGUCCUCCCUCCUGCUUCCCCCGAGUUUCCCCCAAGUCUCCCUGGAGUCUCGCUCCCCGUCCCUUCUUUCGCCGGGGUUCUGCUUCGUCGGGCGGUUCUUGUAGCUGAUCUGCUUCGUCGAUGGCGGCAGAAGGUCAGUAUCCGUUCCAAUCUCACCCCCAGAUGCGCACGAUUUGGUUCGUCCUGAUUAAGGUUUUCUCAGUGGAAAGCAUGAGGAGGGAUUCGUUAGGUUGCGUACUGUUUUCGAGAUCCCCUUACAAUUCAUAUGCUUCCCUGCCCAACACAUCACGCCCAGGCUUGCUGCUAAGUGGUUAUCAAGCUGCAUGGUGAUUUAUGAUUGGUUAUUUGGAGAAUGCACAUAGUUCGUUAAGUAAAGAUGUUUUUUAUCCGUUUAUUUUAUGAUGAUUUAUGCCUGGUUACUUGGAAUUAUUUAAUCAAACAAAUUUGGAAGACUGGUAUAGCUCCAUGUCUUUUCUGGCUUGUAGUUAGCAAAAUUGUAUUAUGGGAUCUGUAGUUAGCAACUCUUCCACGCAGUAGGCUACCAAUUCGAAGGUAUAUGAAGAUAGGAUCUGGGUGGAACCUGCGCCCGUUUGAUAUUUGCAUAGUACUGUUCAUAGGGAAAUUUGUUUCUCAUAUCCACCAGAAUAGCUUGAUAGAAAAUAAAACUAUAAAACAGAUUCAAGGUAUUAUUGAUUAUUUUGAAAUAGAGCUGAACUGUAUGACAAAUUCAGUGAGCAACUUGUAAGGCUUGAUUUUGUUUUUCAUCUGUAAGGUAUUAUUGGUUCAAGGUAGAUCUCUUUUUCGUAGUGACUAUGAUUUCUUUGCUUUUUUCAGGUGUUUGAGUGACCAGCUUGUAGAAUAUUUUUUGGUUUCUCUGUUUUUCAUGUUUUCUCCAUGCUCUUUUGCUUGAUGUUUUUCUUUUUAUGGCUAUAGCUGAUAUGUGUUUUUCAACAUGGUUCUUUACUGGACUAUAGAUGAUUAUCUCUUUUUCUACAUGGUUCUUUUGCUGGCCUUUAUGAUAUUUGUAGUACCAUAGAAGUCUUGAUCUUUUUUUCGUAGCAAUCGGAAGCUUUAACAUGUUCAUGAGUUAGAUUUAAUUUUAAUCUUAUCGGUUUAUGUUUUCUGAAUAUUACUUUUCAACUUCAAUGGCAUAAUCUUGGCUAGUUUUUUAAAGCGAACUAAUGGAUGAUGUGAGUUUUAUAUAUCUGUUAAUGUGGAAACAUUCAGAACCUAUACAGUAGGCUGUUAAUUACUGUUAAUUACCUGUAAUGAAGGCAUAUGACAUGUUUUAUUGUAUCCAGAAUUUGGUUGCUGUUCAACAAUUUGAAAAAACUAAGAAGAGGAAACGUUAGUGGGUCCAGAAAUUUUUGCGGAUGACCUUCUCAACACAUCCACAUAUUAUCUGUGAUAUCUGUGAGGCCUCGUCCGACGCUGGUGUUUUGGUGAGUACUAUAUGACAGGGAUUGGGUGAAAAACUGAAAACACUUCCCCACCCUAAUCCUCUGGUGACGGCCGAGCUCCCAGGGAAUUUCCAAGGGCAUCGAGAGUUUCUGCUGGUGACCAGGUUUGGAGCAUCACGCGAGGCAGCCUGAUUAGGAUGUACGCGAGCGAAGGUAGACAUCACGAGAGCGGGAUUAUGACGUGCGCGACCAGCAAGGGCCAAAACGUGAGCAACUACUCGCGUCUCUGAUCCACUUGAAACCCGACGUGUUUUCACCGACUACCGGACUCAUUCUCAUCCAAGCCCGGCCUGCCGAACAUUCUCAAAAGAGUUUUCAACUGUAUUAUUGAGUUGGCCUGAAAGAAUACACCGCAAACCUGGCAAAGCCACCUAUACCGAACAGGGCCUGAGGGUUAUCGCGCGCGACUUCUUUAGUAUAUCAACUUAACACAUGUCAGUUCGUAUUUUGGAGACAAUUUUUUGUAAUAAACAUUUUCCAUGGAUUUUGAAAUACUGCCAGAUGCGCUGC